GCCGGCCUAGCUCAAUUGGUAGAGCAACUGACUUGUAAUCAGUAGGUUGGGGGUUCAAGUCCUCUGGCCGGCACCG
rnacentral:tRNA from 1 species